rnacentral:rRNA from 1 species
UACGAAGGGGGCUAGCGUUGCUCGGAAUUACUGGGCGUAAAGCGCACGUAGGCGGCUUCUUAAGUCGGUGGUGAAAUCCUGGAGCUCAACUCCAGAACUGCCUUCGAUACUGGGAAGCUCGAGUCCGGGAGGGGUGAGUGGAACUGCGAGUGUAGAGGUGAAAUUCGUAGAUAUUCGCAAGAACACCAGUGGCGAAGGCGGCUCACUGGCCCGGUACUGACGCUGAGGUGCGAAAGCCAGGGGAGCAAACAGG